UGAACGCUAGCGGCAGGCCUAACACAUGCAAGUCGAACGGUAACAUGAAGUGCUUGCACUUUGAUGACGAGUGGCGCACGGGUGCGUAACGCGUAUACAAUCUACCUUUUACAGAGGGAUAGCCCAGAGAAAUUUGGAUUAACACCUCAUGGUAUCCAGACCUCGCAUGAGCGUCUGGAUUAAAACUCCGGUGGUAAGAGAUGAGUAUGCGUUCUAUUAGCUAGAUGGUAAGGUAACGGCUUACCAUGGCUACGAUAGAUAGGGGCCCUGAGAGGGGGAUCCCCCACACUGGUACUGAGACACGGACCAGACUCCUACGGGAGGCAGCAGUGAGGAAUAUUGGACAAUGGGGGCAACCCUGAUCCAGCCAUGCCGCGUGCAGGAAGACUGCCCUAUGGGUUGUAAACUGCUUUUAUACAGGAAGAAACGUUUCUACGAGUAGAGAUUUGACGGUACUGUAAGAAUAAGGAUCGGCUAACUCC
rnacentral:rRNA from 1 species